CCUACGGGAGGCAGCAGUAAGGAAUAUUGGUCAAUGGGGGCAACCCUGAACCAGCCAUGCCGCGUGCAGGACGACUGCCCUAUGGGUUGUAAACUGCUUUUGUUAGGGAAUAAACCCCACUACGUGUAGUGGGCUGAAUGUACCUAAAGAAUAAGGAUCGGCUAACUCCGUGCCAGCAGCCGCGGUAAU
rnacentral:rRNA from 1 species